rnacentral:rRNA from 1 species
GUAGGGAAUAUUGGGCAAUGGAGGCAACUCUGACCCAGCCAUGCCGCGUGCAGGAAGACGGUCCUCUGGAUUGUAAACUGCUUUUGAAUGGGAAGAAACGCACUUUUGCGAAAGUGUUUGACGGUACUAUUAGAAUAAGCACCGGCUAACUCCGUGCCAGCAGCCGCGGUAAUACGGAGGGUGCAAGCGUUAUCCGGAUUUAUUGGGUUUAAAGGGUGCGUAGGCGGCGUAAUAAGUCUGGGGUUAAAGGCGGCAGCUUAACUGUACGCAUGCCCUGGAAACUGUUGAGCUUGAGUGACCUGGAGGUAGCUGGAAUUCCCUGUGUAGCGGUGAAAUGCAUAGAUACGGGGAGGAAUACCGAUUGCGAAGGCAUGUUACUACGAGUAAACUGACGCUGAUGCACGAAAGCGUGGGGAUCAAACAGGAUUAGAAACCCCAGUAGUCC